rnacentral:misc_RNA from 1 species
CCAACCUGAGCAUUUUCAGGUAGAAUAGCAAUCUCAACAAGGUUAUCUAUACGGGAUGAUAGGGUUCUUCUAAGAGAAGAAGAAAAAGAAAGUGAAGAUGUUAGAUUUAUUAUUUCAGUAGGGGUAGGUUGUUCAACUACGAUUUGUACGGAUGACGUAUGAGUUCUGCAAGACAUUUUAUGGAAAAGAUUUCUCCUUACUCACCUUUGAAUAAUGUAUUAUACAUGUAUCUUAGGCUCUGAUACCAAUUGAGACUAGGAGCCCCUUG